rnacentral:lncRNA from 1 species
GGAGGAGGUACACUUUUUGAAGCUAUGCAACUGUGAACACUGUGAUUUAGAGGGGAACAAUCAGGCUUGGCCUGAUAGCCAGCUUGAAAAUCUAGGGCAGAACACAAGGGACUUCCCACCAAGAACUAUGGCUGAUUAUUCCAUUUUACAUUUUUUUCUCGGAAGUGCGAAUGAGGAUUGAAUUGCAGUAAAGCACAACAGGCCACCAUCUCUGAGCAACAGGGAUUUGGUUCUCUGUAUGGAGAUGCAGUCUGACAAGACAAGUUCACUGCAGUUCACAGCGCCGUUGAACGCCAAGGCCCAGGAGGUUCACAUCUGGGACUCAGCACACAAGCAUUAUCACUGCUACAGCUGCAG